GGAGUCGGAGUCGGAGGAGUCGUGGGUGUGGGCGCAGAUCAAGGCGGAGGCCCACCGGGACGCGGAGUCGGAGCCGGCGCUGGCGAGCUUCCUCUACGCCACGGUGCUCUCCCACAACUCCCUGGCCUUCUCCCUCUCCUUUCACCUCGCCAACAAACUCUGCUCCUCCACUCUCCUCUCCACCCUCCUCUACGACCUCUUCCUCCAGUCCUUUUCGUCCAAGCCCUCCCUUAUCUCCGCAGUCGUCGCCGACCUCCUCGCUGUUCGCCACCGCGACCCCGCCUGCGUCUCCUUCUCCCACUGCCUCCUCAACUACAAGGGCUUCCUCGCCGUCCAGGCUCACCGCGUGUCCCACCUCCUCUGGGCCCAGCACCGUCGCCCCCUCGCCCUCGCCCUCCAGUCCCGCACUGCCGACGUUUU
rnacentral:lncRNA from 1 species